GACUGGUCUGCUGGGACACAGGAACAGCAGCUGAUCAUUGCCAGGGAACCACUUAAAGCUUUUUGAAGAUUCAAGUUCCAGGUGUGCGGGUCUCUGCUGUAGUCUGUUCCCACGCAGAAGAACAUUAGAUCACAAUAUUGUCA
rnacentral:lncRNA from 12 species